GACGAACGCUGGCGGCGUGCUUAACACAUGCAAGUCGUACGGUAAGGCCCUUUCGGGGGUCCACGAGUGGCGAACGGGUGAGUAACACGUGAGUAACCUGCCCACAACUUUGGGAUAACGCUAGGAAACUGGUGCUAAUACUGGAUAUGUGCUCCUGCUGCAUGGUGGGGGUUGGAAAGCUCCGGCGGUUGUGGAUGGACUCGCGGCCUAUCAGCUUGUUGGUGGGGUAGUGGCCUACCAAGGCGGCGACGGGUAGCCGGCCUGAGAGGGUGACCGGCCACAUUGGGACUGAGAUACGGCCCAGACUCCUACGGGAGGCAGCAGUGUGGAAUAUUGCACAAUGGGCGCAAGCCUGAUGCAGCAACGCCGCGUGCGGGAUGACGGCCUUCGGGUUGUAAACCGCUUUCAGCAGGGACGAAGCUUUUUGUGACGGUACCUGCAGAAGAAGCACCGGCUAACUACGUG
rnacentral:rRNA from 1 species